rnacentral:tRNA from 1 species
AACUAAGUAGUGGGUAACCAUAUUAAAUUGCAAAUUUAAAGAAGCGGUAGCCUUAGUUA